ACCCAAUGGGGACUGCCUAAACAGAUGUGUCAAAAAAUAAUAAUACAUUGGGAUGUGUAGACAGCAUUGACAGAUUAUGUGUCAUUUUUGUGUAAGAUUUCACAGAAUGUGUGAAACCUGAAGUUAAGAGAUUCAUUUCUGGGUCGUGCUACAACAAGUGAGAAACUAACGGCCGUUUGGCUGUCCAAUCGCGUGACUGUGGACAUUUGAAAGCAGACUUCCGCCCGCCUUUUCUACCGUUGGAAAUGCAAGAUGCGGCGACUUGACUUCAGACACCGAGAGAGGCUGGCGGCCCAGGUCUUGUGGCCACAUCUGUCCAAGCUCCUACUCUGAUUGAACAGUUGGAUGAUCAGACUGAUGAUGAAAAGUGCUACACAGUUCUCACACAUCUUCUGACUCCGAAGCCGCUGCAGUGUAAAAUCUGAGAUGUCUUUUCUGGUUGAUUUUGUGCAGAUUUCUGACAGCGAUGGUGAGGGAAGCAGUGUACCGAACUCUCAGAUGACUCGGACCAGGUGACCAAACCCAUGCAAAGCACAAUGACUGUGCUGAGGCGUUCCGCCCCCCUCCCCCUCCACACCACUCAAGGCACGGCGGCGGCCCAACAGCAAACUAACGGAGAUUAACAUGAGGCUGGAUGCGCUUGGCUCCCUGCUGCGUCCAUCACCAGAGGGGCCGGGAUUGCUGCGGCAGCUAGCCAAUUAAAGGAGGAGGAUGAAGGAGAGGAGUCUGACGAUGCCGACAUCGCCAUCGUAUGCAGUCCACGCCCUCGCAGGAAAACCAGCCAAUGAAAACGCUUGCAGCAGCAUCAGCAGAACACACCGGCACGACUGACAGAGCUUCUGAAGCAUGCAGUGGAAGACCUGUCAGUCAAGCUAAAGGUCCCGCCCUCCAACCUGCUGCUGCUGCACGGAGAGGCGGAACUUAACACCUCACACACUAUUGGCCAGCUAGGACUCUGCAUCGCUGACAUCUUUGUCUGGAACCAACUUCACAUCCCUCUUCACUGCACUACUGACACUGAGAUGGAAUCCACAACCCAACCACUAGUGGUCUGCAUUGGGAACCUGAAGACUCUGUCAUAACCGCCAGGAAUGACCGUGUGACCAU